CCCAAAGCAGCUUUCAUUUGACUGGGAAAGGUCUGAGCAUAUCCCUAACAAAAUAAUACCCAUUCUUACAGAUGUCCAAGACUUGAACUUGGCUGGCAGUGCUAGUCUGGCUCCCACAGAAGUUUGAGUAUGUUCUGAAUAAAAUGUUCUUCAAUAUAUGCUUUGAGUUCAGGAGAUGUAUUGCACUGAAUGAGCUGCUAUGGCUUCAGCAGAAGUCUGAAGGUAUAAUCUGUCAUGCUCUAAGAACCUUCAGUGGGGGGAUUGUUUUUCCAUCCCAGGCAGAUUAUUUGGAGAAAUAGGCCAUUCCUGCAUUUUUUUUAUUUCUGUGGAGCUCUCAUUAAAGUCAAUGGGAAUUUGAUUUGUGCAAGAGCUACAGGAUUAGGCCAGUAGAUGGUACAAAGCCUUGGCUAACUAUCCCAGAAUGAUAAAUAGGCCUACAGGAAACAUCUGGUCAGUACUCAAAUCAUUGUCACCAGGUGGUCAGAGGCUUCCAUCAGCUUUCAGUGACCAAUUGUUUUAUUUUUGCCUGCAGAAAUUCCAGUGGCACUACAUCCAAUGAAGAACAUGGAUUCCACAACACUUUGAAAGCAUCAAAUGCCAGGUGAAUGUCAUCAAGUUCAGAAUGAUCCCUGUGCUCCAGCAUGGAUUUGAAUACAAAAUCCUUUUAGACUUGUGGCUCAGCAAUUUCCACAACAGCUCUUUGAAACCAUGUAUACCAAGACCAUAUGAAACAAAGAGGAAUACAUUAUGGUGGAAAAGAUGAGGGAAAAUAAAUAGGAGAAUGGGAAAUCAGAAUGAAUUGAUGAGAAAGAGAAGACACAAUGGUCCCAAAUUAUUUCACACUGGUCUGGGAAAGGCACUCAGAAUGUCACAGCUAAAUACAAGGUGGAACAGAAGUGGCCAUCUUGAAUGUGGGCCCUUGAUCUCAGCUGACAAGUGAUCUCAGUGGUAAGAAUUAUGUCUGGUUGUUAGUGUUCACAGGAUGAGGCCUUCCAUUCUUAAACCCUUAUAAAUUGAAUGACCGAAUGCAGACUUUCUAAUUGACACUAUUCUCCUGAACACCUGAGAGACCGGAUAAGUCAUUGUGAUAUUGCAGUGGCCUGUUACCCAUUGAUCCCGUCCCGUGAACACCUAAUUUCGCAGGUCCCAUCCUCUCUGUGGCCAAUCCACCCAUCUGAAGUGGGCCGCUUAAAUACU
rnacentral:lncRNA from 1 species